rnacentral:misc_RNA from 1 species
UGUUGUACGAAUUAAGCCUUUGUAUGCAGAAUUGGAUUCUGCAGUAAAAUUCACAAAGGAUCAUUUGCUCACGGUAGGUGAAAAUUUAAACCCUAGCGAAAUUAUGUACAGCAUUGACAGUUCAUCUUUUCCUCUAUCUGGACAGUUUUUGGAAAUGUUCUAGUAAUUCAGCAGACAUUCAAGAAAUGAAUGGCAAAAUAAUCUUGUUUAGUCAAGAAGAUAUUGACAAAGGAAAAAUAUUUUAUAAACAUAAUGAUAACAGCACAUCAAAAAUCAUAUUGCAUUUUCAAAUAACCAGCAAAAUAUCAAAUAAGGUACUUGAAACAGAAUUCGAAAUCAUUGGAACAAGAUCCGAGCUCAACUCAUCACUAACUCUACCAGAAAAUCAGUUUGGAAUGAUGGUACUCCAGAACCAUCCCGCUACGAUUUCGAGCGAUCACCUCUUAGUGCAGAAAAGUGGUGUGCCCUCCAAAGAUAUUGUUUAUAUGAUAACUAAAAAGUUACUAAAAGAGGAAGGAUUCCUUGAAAAUUUAGACAAACCAGGAAUUAGACUGCAGUCUUUCACUCAGAAGGACAUCGAUGAAAUGAAGAUAGUCUAUCAUUCGCCGCCAUAUGUAGAACCAAACGAAAAGCAAUUUACUUUUCAAUUUAUUGUUAUUGAUGCUAAACGAGGAAUUCAGUUAUCACCUGUUCAGAAUUUCACUAUCACAGUCCGACCGCCUUCUAUAGAAUUCACAUCUCCGGCGUCAGCGAUUGAUUAUGAAACUACUAUUAUUGUAAAGCAAGGACAGUCAAAAGAACUUGGAUUCAACUGGCUGUCUACGGUAGGUCACGAUAUGCCUGAGGAUCAGCUUGAAGUUGUUCUUAGUACUGCUCCUCGGUAUGGGUCAUUAGUUCAGAUCACUGGUGGGACUCAAACAAAAAUUGCAGAAGAUGAUGGAUUUUCUUUCACAUCCAUAAUCAAAGAUAUGUAUUAUGAGCAUGAUGGUUCCAAUAACUUGCAUGAUAGUGCUGUGCUCACCAUAAUGGGUGGUCGACGUUCCUCUUUAAAUCGUGUAAAUUUCGAAGUUUCUCCAAUUGAUAUUGAAAGCCCAGUUAUUGUUGAUUCAACAGCUUUAAUGGGAUCCGUUACAGAAGGUAAAUUCUUGGUUCUUCAGAGACACCAUCUGGCAUAUACAGAUGUGAUUUCGGAUGACGCUCAGAUCACCUUCACCUUGUUGAAAACACCAGAAUAUGGUAGAAUUGAAAAACAAGAGAAUGAUCAUUAUAAUGCAUUACGGCCUAAAGACCAAUUCAGCCAACAGGAUAUAAAUGAUCAGAAAAUUAGAUAUGUAGCAGAUACCAGUAUCGGUGAUGAAACUGUACGAGAUUUUUUGCGAUUUGAUGUUGCUGAUGGUAGUGGAAAUGUUCAACCAAAUCAAGUUUUUACUAUGAAAGUAAAACCUCGUAUCAAGCAUCCGCCAGUUGUAAAAGUUACAAGUGAUGUUCAGGUUAAUGAAGGGGGAGAAGCUGUUAUAGAACCACAUAUUCUGACAGUUUUUGACCCGGAUACUCCACUGUCUGAUCUCAUAGCUAUCAUAGAAAAGCAACCUGACUAUGGAUUUAUAGAAAAUUCAAAACCUAUCCCAGGUGCUGAGAAAACUUUGGAUGGUCUACCGAUUUCUUCCUUUCCUUAUGUUGAUCUGGUUGAAGGAUUUAUAAAGUACAUGCAAGGAGGUCACAAAGGAUUAGAACCUGAGAGAGAUACGGUUCAUAUCCGGAUAACUGAUGGCCAUUUGUCAUCUAAAGUACAUGUGGUAAACAUCACCAUAAAGCCUAUGAAUGAUGAAUCACCACAUAUAUUUACGGACAACUUAUUCGUAAAGCAAGGAGGCUACGCAAAAAUAAAAAAUUCCACUUUAUUUAUAGCUGACACAGAUACCAAACCAGAAGAUCUCGUUAUCAUUAUUGAUAAAGCAUCUGAAAAGGGAUCUCUUAGAAGGCUUCAACAAAAUAAUUACAAUUUUCUGCAAAGUGCAACAAUUUUAAAUCAAGAUACCUUUACAUUUCAGGAUAUACUGAAUGGAUUAAUAAUAUACGUCCACGAAGAUACUAAAUCAAUCCUAAACGACACGUUAACUUUUAUUGUAAGCGAUGGGCAACAUGCUGUGUCUUCUGAAAUUGAUAUUAUUAUCAGUGCCACAGACAGAGAAGCUCCUUAUUUAUUGCUUAAUCUCGGUUUGGAAUUAACUCCAGGAAAUUCAAGUGUCAUUAAUAAUGAAACUCUCUGUGCGACUGAUAUUGACAGUUCAGAUGAGCUUUUGGUGUAUACUUUGACAAAGGAUCCAACAGCUGGACAACUAUUUCUCUUGAAAAAUGGCAAGCUUAAAUUACUUUCAGUAGAAGAUAGCGCAGCACUUUAUAGUUUUCAUCAAAGUGACGUGAAUCAGCAACGCCUUAUCUAUCGCCAUAACAGAGGUGACGAAGAUGGAAUUCAUCAUUUUAAAUUCAAUAUAAAUGAUCCUGCGAAUAACACUUUACUGGACCAGUCAUUUUUCAUAUCUGUAACAGAGGACAUAUUUCCUCCAGUUGUUACAAGGAACACUGGAUUGACUGUCAUCGAAAAGACUAGUUCCUGUAUCACCACUGACAAAUUAGCCGCCGUAGAUGAGCAUAAUAGAUCAAUGGACCUCCUCUUCUCACUGACAACUGCUCCUAAUUUUGGUUAUUUGGAGCAUAAAAACCUAAAAGGAGUUCCAAUUACAAAUUUUCAUAUGUCAGAUAUAGCAGAUGGUAAUGUGUGCUUUGUACAUUCAUCUGACAGUUACGUUUCUUUCGAUAGUUUCACGUUCACUGUUUCUGAUGGGAAGAAUUCGGCUCUGCAGACUUUCUACAUAAAUAUAACUAGAACAAGUAAUUCCCUUCCUAUUGUCAAAAUCAGCCCGUUACAAAUUGAAGAAGGAACUCAUAAAGUUAUUUCUGAAUUUGAAAUAGAUAUUUUUGACAGAGACACUUCAGAUUCCAGUAUUAUUAUUAAUGUAUUGAAAUCUCCUUCUCAUGGUGUAUUAAAAGAAUUUGGGAGCAUGUCAACAUCAGUGGAUCAGUUUUCAAUGGAUGAUGUCAAGCGAAGUAAAAUAUCUUAUUAUCACGAUGACUCAGAUAGUGUAUUUGAUGAUUUUACCUUCGUUGUUUCUGAUGGCAUAAGUAGUAAAUUUAUAUAUCUGGAAAAUGGUUUUAAUGGUACAACUUCUAAGCCAAUAGUUUUUCCAAUUAACAUAGUAUCGAUUGAUGACAGUAUUCCUUUCCUCCUAAAAAAUGAAGGCCUUAGAACAUUGAGACUGGAAAAUGGAAAAUGGAGAAAUUCAAUAUCUCAAGAUCAUCUUUUCACUGAAGACCUUGAUACCAAAGAAAAGGACCUCAUUUAUUCUGUUACAGUACGACCGAAUUUAGGAUACCUACAACUGACAAGCAGUCCUAACGAAAAAGUAUCUCAUUUCUCUCAAAAGGAUAUCAAUGAUGGGAAACUCCAGUAUGUUUUGGAUGAUGAUGACAUUUUGCAGACAGAAGAUAAAUUUAUGUUUUCUGUGGAAGAUACAAAACCAAAUAAAUUGAUGAAUAACAUCUUUCGCAUUCAGUGGACUCGCGUAAACUUUGAGUUACCUUUUUAUAACACUUCAGAAAUGGAUGGCCAUUUAGAAGUCUCAGUUAUACGAACUGGGAAUACCGAACUGGAUUUUACAGCUACAUGUCAAAUCUCUCAAGACAAUUUGUCUGCUACUAACAAGAGUGGUUUUGUUCCCGUUGUGAAUGAGGUGCAUUUUAAAGAAAAUGAUAAUUUAGAGUACUGCAUUUUCAAAAUAGUAGAUAAUAGCGAUUUUGAAGGAAAAAAGAAUUACCAAAUUUUCUUACAUUCUGCAACUGUUUUACUUGGCAUCCCUCAUACAGCAAAUGUUGAAAUACAUGAUGAAGAAGAUGAACCUAUUAUCAGUUUCAAACAAGACGUCUUCUUUGUAAAUGAGACUGACAGUUAUGUCCAUUUCCCAGUUAUCAGAAAGGGUGAUUUAAAACCUGAUUUAAGUGUUAUGUGCAGCACGUUUGAUCAUACAGCUCAAGGAAGCAGCCCUUUUGGACUGGAAACUGGUUCAGAUUAUAGAAGUCGAAGUUCUUCGCAUAAUUCUUUCGUCACAUUUUAUGCCGGCCUGACAGAAAUAAACUGCAGUGUUAAAAUAAUUGAUGAUAACUUAUAUGAAGAGGCAGAAGAAUUUGAAAUAAUCCUUUCUGAUUGUCAUCCGCUUGGAAAAAUCCAUGGAUAUUCUAAAGCACGUGUAAUUAUAAAUGGACCUAAUGAUAUACCUGAAGUUUUCAUCAAAAGACAAGAUUAUGAAAUUACACAUGAACAAAAUAAUAUUUCUAUCUCACUCAAACGGGUGGGUGUGGAUCUAUCAAAAAUUUGCACUGUAUGGUGUGGAACUCGAUCGUCUUUAGAUAACUCUGGAAGAAAUAUGAAUUCUUUGCAACAAAUCAAAUUUGAUAACUUCCAGUCUUCUCUUGAAUGCCAGCUGUCUAAACAUCAAGUACUUUGGUCUACAGAACCAUCUGAAAGCAUUAUUGUUUUUCUUGAUUCUCCUGAGGGCUGUAUUUUAGGCGAACCGAGUUUUUUAACAAUUCCUGUGAAGUAUGAAAAGAAAGCUCCUACCGUUGAGUUUAGCGUUGAUCAUAUGGUCGUAAAAGAGGGGUCUGGAGUAGUUCAAAUAUCUGUUCUGAGAACAGGAGACUUGACUAAAAAUUCUUCUGUGUAUUGUGUGACUCAUGAUGAUACAGCUAAAGCAAGAGAAGAUUUUGAAGAAAAGUAUCAAACUCGAAGAUCUUCACUUAUUAAUUUCAGUCCUGACCAAAAGGAAGCCUUCUGCUCAGUAAAGAUAUACGACGAUGAUAUUCAUGAGGGGAAUGAGUUCUUGAAACUAAAACUAGUAUCAAAUAAUAAAGACAAGAAUACAAUAAUUGCAAACAAGAAAUCUUUAACCCUCGAAAUAACUGACCCUGAAGACGCUACUUCUGUGCAACUUGAAAAGGCUGAAUAUGUAGUACCUCAGCACACUUUUCCUAACAGUUCCGUCUCUGCAAUCAUACCUGUAAUUCGGCUGGGAGACUUAAGAUUGAUUUCGAAAAUUAGAGUUAGUACAAUUGAUGGAUCUGCUUCUGCUGGACUUGAUUAUUACUCUAAGAGCAAACUUCUUACCUUUAAUCCAGGUGAAAGCAAGAAACGCUUCGAAAUUGAAAUUCUGUAUAAUAAGCGGCGAAACUGGGCCCUAUCUUUCGUUGUCAUACUUGGCCCUGAUGAAGUACUAAAUGCCGAUAUAGGCAAUGUAUCAAAAGCUGUCAUCACGAUACCUGGAGUGCAAUCGACAGAAAGUUUAAUUUUGCCCGCAGUUCCUAUUGUGGUGUCUUUAUUACAUAAUAGCAAUAUCACCAUUGGUCUGUUGCAAGAGCCUAAACCAGGAUAUCCAUUAAUUUGCAUCACGCCCUGCGAUUCAAAUUAUCCGUCUUAUGCUGAAACCGCUUCUCUCUGCAAGGAAUCGGGAAUUAAUUCCUCUUCUAUGAGUUAUUCAUGGGAGGUAGCUAUGCCAUUAGAUGGUGAAGAAAAUAUCUCACCCUUUGAAAGUGUUACACAUUCUACACUGUUUACAUCUGUACAUGACAAAGUACUUGACAGCAUCUAUUUUCGACCUCAUGAAAGAGUACGUUGUAUUGUACAGCCCAAAGAUUCAAAAGGCCAACUGGGUAUUCCUCUGCAGAGCAAGGCUGUUAAAAUAAAUUCAGAAAGAGGAUUCUGCCACUCUACUUUGAGACCACAGUAUUUGCAACUAACUUUGCAAUCCCAGUCUUUCAUCGCUAAUCUUCAAUAUAUCAACUCAUCUGACUCCCAUCAUCCAAAUAAGCUGCAUAUUCAUGUAGAAAUUCCUCAUGAAGAUGGGCUUCUUCCUUUGUUAUCAACUCAUCCAUUGCAUAACGUCGAGUUCCUCUUAUCCCAGAAUAUUUACAGACAGCAACAUGUAUGUUCCAAUUUGCUACAAUCAGCCAUCACACAAACAGAAGUAAAUAGAGGAUUUUUAAAAAACCUGAAACCUACAGUUUAUGACAUGAAUAAAGCUUUUCCUUAUCAUGGAGACCAAUGCAGUAACGAAACACAUCUUCUAUAUCAGCAUCUAGAUCUAAAAAAGUGCAAGUGGACAUUUGACGCAUGGUACAGUAUGAGCGAACUUGUAGAACUUUGCGGUGGAAGUGUGACAUCCGAUUUUAAGGCUGUUUUGUUCUGGAGCAUCAUACUUUGCCAGGGAUUAAGAGCCACAUUUCUACCCCAGAAAAACUUGGCUUACAGUUUGAAUUACAACUAUUGUGGAGUGAACAAACGUUUGAUGGCCCAUUACAAUUCUGGAGAGCUACAAGCAAUUAUAAUUUAAAAGAUUACAGUGGCUAUUAUACUGUGUAUUUGAUACCCUGCAAAGUUACAACCUCAGAACAGUUUUCUAAACAAAGUAGCUAUAAAUACAUCCCUUGUGUUGCUCAAGCUCCUCAGAAGUUUGAAUUACCUCUA